GGAUUAUAGCCGUUAGGGGCUAGAGCGUCCCGAUUUGUAUCGGGAAGGUCAAGGGUUCGACUCCCUUAUUCUCCA
rnacentral:tRNA from 1 species